CCUUACGUAUUCUUCACCCUCAGU
rnacentral:siRNA from 1 species